UACGUAGGGUGCGAGCGUUAAUCGGAAUUACUGGGCGUAAAGCGUGCGCAGGCGGUUCGUUGUGUCGGUGGUGAAAUCCCCGGGCUUAACCUGGGAAUUGCCAUGGAAACUGGCGAACUGGAGUGCGGCAGAGGGGGGUGGAAUUCCGCGUGUAGCAGUGAAAUGCGUGGAGAUGCGGAGGAACACCGAUGGCGAAGGCAGCCCCCUGGGCUAGCACUGACGCUCAGGCACGAAAGCGUGGGGAGCAAACAGG
rnacentral:rRNA from 1 species